rnacentral:lncRNA from 1 species
AAUCAUUUUAAUACGGAUUAGCAUCCGUUAGUUUUUAAUCACAAUCAGAUUGGGAUCUAAGCCUUAGAUUGUUGGAACAAAUACCGCAACGAAAAUUUGAUUGUGAUUAAAAAUCUAACUAAUUUGUAAUAAAGAUAAAAUUGAACUUACAGAUAAACGCAAAUAUUCCAAUAAAAAUUUGAUCUUAUCCGGAAGCGUGCGAGGGACUGUCCUAAGGCUUAUUCCCGUCCUUCGUGCAGGAUUAACCGGAAAUACCGCCCCAAGAUACGAUCGGAAUUCCUCCUCCUACGGACACGAACGCGGAAGAGGUUGACGAAGCUUCUUUCAACACCCGGCAAUAAAAUGAUCAAAUAAAAUGAAUAAAAAAAAUUAAAUCAAUUUAAUAAUUAAUUAGUAGCUCUCUCUGUGAGCUCUUUUGUCCUUUUCAUCCCCCUGUGUAAAGGUGAAGGACAACAUCUAUAUGUAUAAGGCGAGUAUGAGAUGGACUCCAACGUUCGGCUCCGAAAAGUAUGCCUUCGAGCGCUUUCACGCCUGACGAUGCGCACUAUGGCGCGUAACGUCCACGCCACUCUCGGAUUCCAAACGGCUCUAAACAUCAAAACAAUUAAUAUAUAAAUAUAAAUAAAUAAAAUAUAUAUUCAAAAAUUUUGAGUUUGUCCAACACACUCUUCGCUGCCAUGUGUACUUCGCAACGUAGUGAAAGCAUUAAUGCUGUCACUAAAAUUUGGGUCGACAACCAUACAUCAAUAUACAAAUUUGUCCUUCAAAUUAAAAAAGUGGUUGAAACUCGAUACGACAAAGAAGAUGAGAAGGAUUACAGAAUGAGAGGUGGUGAGGUGAAGCUUUAUUCAUAUGAUCCCAUUGAAGUUCAAGCUCGUGAUAUUUAUACAAAAAGAAAUUUCUUUGAAUUCAAGGAACAAUUGAGAUUGAUCUUGGGACAUUCAUUGCACCAUAUAAGUAACUGCAAUACACAAUCCUACAAUGACCUAUUAUUGCUAGCAUGAAUCGAUUAGCAGAAAAGGUCUCAUGCAAUUGCAAAUGUUCGAAUUUACGGGCCUUUUAUGCACAAAGGAGAUCUUUCAACAUUCAAUCUAUACAACAUGAGGCAAUGGGUGACUCUGUGCAUGCAAAGGUUAUAAGGUCUAAUGCACUUAGUCAACGAGUGCAAGAGUUGUCCAUCAAGGUGCGAAAUCAUUCGGAUCAUUUGAGUUGACUUGUUAAUUAUUUAAAAGAGUUGUUGAUGAAAUUGUUUCGUAUAAUCAAGCUUCUAAUGUAGUACAAGGCUAAGAAGUUGAAGAAUUUAAUGUAGCUCCACUUACACAAACAAGUGACCUUGAUGUUACUUUGAAGGACCCACCACAGUCACAGUGUAAAGGAAAGAGGAAACCACAAAGAUUUAAGCCUUCUAUGGAAAAGCGAGCUAAAAGGUCCAGAACAUGUGCGAAAUGCAAAAAGAAAGGUCAUAAUGUUCGAACGUGUAAAGAGGUAAUCUAUUUUGUAGUUUUAUUAAAACUUUAUUGUCUUCUUUUAUACUCCAAAUAGAGAAUCUAAAUAGUUUUCUCUUAUCUUUAUAUAGGUUGCACUGGGAGAUGCAUACUUCGAUGUAGAUGUUAAUGAAAGCAACAGCAAAUAACGUAUUUUGUUAAUACUUUUGUAUGUAUGGUUUUAGUGUAUAGUUUCACAUGUAAAUUACGCCUUAUGGUGCUUCUUUUUGGUUUAAAAAGCUUUGUUAUAUUUUGAGAUAUAAGGGUCGAUGUGUAAUUCAUGCCCUUAGCUUUGGUAUUAAACUUCUAUCUUAAAGAAUAACACAUAUGAAAAAAUGAUUCAAUGAUAUAUUAUGUUAAUGAAAGCAGCAGGGAGUAAAAUAUUUUGUUCAUAUUUUUUUAUGUAUGGUUUGGAUGUAUAGUAAAUUAUGCCUUCUGAUACUUCUUUUUUGGCUUAAAAAGUUUUGUUAUAUUUUGGGGGAUAAGUGUUGAUCUGUAGUUCAUGCUCUUUAGCUUUGGUAUUAAACUUCUGUCUUGAAAAAUAAUACAUAUAAAAAAAAUGAUUCAAUGAUAUACCAUAUUGUUUCUAUUUCUUUUCCUACUUUAGGUUUGACAUGCUCUUCUCAAACUUAAUUUGUAGAGCUGCUUUUUAUUUUGAGGUUGAAGUUAUUAGCAAGUAGCUAAUAUUUGAAUAAGUAUGCAAUAUUCUAUUUUGAUCAGUAAGCAUGCAGAAAGUAACAAGCUGAGAUAACCAGCAAGCUACAANNNNNNNNNNNNNNNNNNNNNNNNNNNAAAAAAAAAAAAAAAAGGAGCACAUAAUAAUAUGAUUUUAGUGAUAUUUCAUAUUCGCUGCCUUUUUUGAGAUCUAUAUGACAAGCUAAUUAUACCACAUUUAUAAAUGGUAUAAGAUAAAGGCACAAAACAUUCAUUUACAGAGUACAUUUUUAAGUUCUGUAUGACAGAAUCUAUGCCUUUAACUUUAUAAUAAUGUGUGAAACUAUUACGCGUACGUAUGUGACUUUUUCAGCACAAUAGAUAUGUAGAAGCAGAUCAAGAAAUGGAUCUAGAACCUAAUUUUGCCAUCAUGAUUUAAGUUAACCAACAAAUUAUAAACAUAUAAAAUCAUUUUAAUACGGAUUAGCAUCCGUUAGUUUUUAAUCACAAUCAGAUUGGGAUCUAAGCCUUAGAUUGUUGGAACAAAUACCGCAACGAAAAUUUGAUUGUGAUUAAAAAUCUAACUAAUUUGUAAUAAAGAUAAAAUUGAACUUACAGAUAAACGCAAAUAUUCCAAUAAAAAUUUGAUCUUAUCCGGAAGCGUGCGAGGGACUGUCCUAAGGCUUAUUCCCGUCCUUCGUGCAGGAUUAACCGGAAAUACCGCCCCAAGAUACGAUCGGAAUUCCUCCUCCUACGGACACGAACGCGGAAGAGGUUGACGAAGCUUCUUUCAACACCCGGCAAUAAAAUGAUCAAAUAAAAUGAAUAAAA